rnacentral:rRNA from 1 species
AAGUGGUAACAAGGUUUCCGUAGGGAACUUGCGGAGGGAUCAUAAUCGAUUAAACUUGAACAGGCUGUUGCUGGUCCUUCGGGGUAUGUGCACGCUGGUCUCAUCUUUGUAAUUUUCUCCCACUUGUGCACCUUUGGUGGACUCGGGAGCUUUGUGGAUUUUCGGAAAAUUGGAGUCGGGACUGCCGUGCUUUGUUGUGAAUUGGGCUUUCCCUUCCAUUUUCCAGGUUUAUGUCAUUUUCCCAACUUCUUGAACCAUGUUUAGAAUGUGGGAUAAAAUGAAAUAUACAACUUUCAGCAACGGAUUUCUUGGCUCUGGCAUGGAUGAAGAACGCAGGGAAAUGCGAUAAGUAAUGUGAAUUGCGGAAUUCAGGGAUUCAUGGAAUCUUUGAACGCUUCUUGCGUUCCUUGGUAUUCCGAGGACCAUCCCUGUUUGAGUGUCAUUUAACUUUUCAACCCCAUGGGAUAUUUUUUUUCGGAUGCCGGCUUGGAUGUGGGGGUGGUUUCCGGGCUUUUGGUACCAAAAAAGUUCGGUUCCCCUGAAAUGUAUUAGUGGUAUUUGAGGCUAUUACUUUUAGGUGUGAUAAUUAUUUAUCCCUUUUGGGUAUGCCGCAUGAACAGAUUAUGCUGCUUCUAACGAAAACUAU